rnacentral:rRNA from 1 species
GACGAACGCUGGCGGCGUGCUUAACACAUGCCAGUCGAACGGAAAGGCCCUGCUUUUGUGGGGUGCUCGAGUGGCGAACGGGUGAGUAACACGUGAGUAACCUGCCCUUGACUUUGGGAUAACUUCAGGAAACUGGGGCUAAUACCGGAUAGGAGCUCCUGCUGCAUGGUGGGGGUUGGAAAGUUUCGGCGGUUGGGGAUGGACUCGCGGCUUAUCAGCUUGUUGGUGGGGUAGUGGCUUACCAAGGCUUUGACGGGUAGCCGGCCUGGGAGGGUGACCGGCCACAUUGGGACUGAGCUACGGCCCAGACUCCUACGGGAGGCAGCAGUGGGGAAUAUUGCACAAUGGGCGGAAGCCUGAUGCAGCAACGCCGCGUGCGGGAUGACGGCAUUCGGGUUGUAAACCGCUUUCGCCUGUGACGAAGCGUGAGUGACGGUAAUGGGUAAAGAAGCACCGGCUAACUACGUG